AUGUACAUUCCUAUAGGAUAGUGUUAAUGAAUUGGAUCCAAAUAAAACUCCACAGUUAAGUGCGCUUCGGCUAGAGUAUUACCGAGAUGGGUGACCACCCAGGAAGUCCUACUAUUUUACAUC
rnacentral:rRNA from 1 species